GACGAACGCUGGCGGCGUGCUUAACACAUGCAAGUCGAACGGAGUGGCGAACGGGUGAGUAACACGUGGGGGACCUGCCCUGCAAUCCGGGCUAAGCCUGGGAAACUGGGUCUAAUACCGGAUAGUGUGGGAUGGGCCCGCGGCCUAUCAGCUUGUUGGUGGGGUAAUGGCCUACCAAGGCGGCGACUGGUAGCCGGCCUGAGAGGGUGGACGGCCCCAUUGGGACUGAGACACGGCCCAGACUCCUACGGUAGGCAGCGGUGGGGAAUAUUGCACAAUGGGCGGAAGCCUGAUGCAGCGACGCCGCGUGGGGGAUGACCGCCUUCGGGUUGUAAACUCCUUUCACCGUCGACGCUGUAGAUGGCGAAGAAGCACCGGCUAACUACGUGCCAGCAGCCGCGGUAAUAC
rnacentral:rRNA from 1 species